GCGAGCGUGGCGGAACUGGCAGACGCGCCAGCUUUAGGAGCUGGUGCCCUUCGGGGUGUGGGGGUUCGAGUCCCCCCGCUCGCA
rnacentral:tRNA from 1 species